CAAUUCCGAUGAACAAAUAAGGUUUUACAUGUAAGAUGGUUAAAUAAAGAGCAAAAUAAUUGAUCAUUAUUAUAUUAUUAUUUGUGCCCUGGUCCUAUAAGAACUCUUUGUCACUUCCCACGAGCCGGAUUGUGACAAAACCUCACACUCAUUCUUAUGUUUAAUAAAUGUAUCGUAUAGUGUGUGUGUGGCAGACUUACAAUGACGGCAACAACAACAUUUGAGAGUGCCCUGAUCCUGGUGCUAGAGGGGGUACAGCUGGAGGGUGAAUGUUUGAAGGGGUACAGCUGGAGGGUGAAUGUUUGAAGGGGUACAGCUGGAGGUUGAAUGUUUGAAGGGGUACAGCUGGAGGGUGAAUGUUUGAAGGGGUACAGCUGGAGGGUGAAUGUUUGAAGGGGUACAGCUGGAGGGUGAAUGUUUGAAGGGGUACAGCUGGAGGGUGAAUGUUUGAAGGGGUACAGCUGGAGGGUGAAUGUUUGAAGGGGUACAGCUGGAGGGUGAAUGUUUGAAGGGGUACAGCUGGAGGUUGAAUGUUUGAAGGGGUACAGCUGGAGGGUGAAUGUUUGAAGGGGUACAGCUGGAGGGUGAAUGUUUGAAGGGGUACAGCUGGAGGGUGAAUGUUUGAAGGGGUACAGCUGGAGGGUGAAUGUUUGAAGGGGUACAGCUGGAGGGUGAAUGUUUGAAGGGGUACAGCCGGAGGUUGAAUGUUUGAAGGGGUACAGCUGGAGGGUGAAUGUUUGUUUGUUUAAUUAGUUAAAACCUGCAUUUCCCACUAGCAUGGCAUGUUUCAUUCAAG
rnacentral:lncRNA from 1 species